rnacentral:rRNA from 1 species
GACGAACGCUGGCGGCGUGCCUAAUACAUGCAAGUCGAGCGGACGGAUGGGAGCUUGCUCCCAGACCGUCAGCGGCGGGCGGGUGAGUAACACGUGGGCAACCUGCCUGUAAGACUGGGAUAACUCCGGGAAACCGGGGCUAAUACCGGAUAACUCUUUCCCUCACCUGAGGGAAAGCUGAAAGAUGGCAUCUCGCUAUCACUUACAGAUGGGCCCGCGGCGCAUUAGCUAGUUGGUGAGGUAACGGCUCACCAAGGCGACGAUGCGUAGCCGACCUGAGAGGGUGAUCGGCCACACUGGGACUGAGACACGGCCCAGACUCCUACGGGAGGCAGCAGUAGGGAAUCUUCCGCAAUGGACGAAAGUCUGACGGAGCAACGCCGCGUGAGUGAUGAAGGUUUUCGGAUCGUAAAACUCUGUUGUCAGGGAAGAACAAGUACCGGAGUAACUGCCGGUACCUUGACGGUACCUGACCAGAAAGCCACGGCUAACUACGUG